AGAAUUCUAUAUGUGUCUGCCUGGAAUCAGCGAGUAUACAGAUCUCCAUGCUGAUCACUUUGACUUACAGAACUUCCCUAAUGUGACCAAACAGAGAGUAGUGGAUUUCUUACAACUAAGUGACCAAAAGUUGAAUGAAAAAAUUGAACUUCUUUAUGCGCAGAGGUAUCUAAGAUAUGUGCGUGUAGUCAUAAAUGAUGUAUCAUAUAUAACUUCGAACGUUUGGGCAGAAAUGAAAAAAUCAACAAGCUACAAAGUGGACAUAAGUAUAGAUAGGAAUGCAGUGAUCGAGCAAACUCAGUGUGAAUGUGCAGUAGGACAAGGACCAUUGGCUCAUUGUAAGCAUGUGGGAAGUGUUUUAUUUGGUCUUGUGAAAUACUGCACAUCUGGUAGCAUUCUAACAGAAGUAACAUGCACACAGGUUUUACAAAAAUUUCACAAAAGUAAGCCCAUGAAAGGUAGUCCAUUGAAAACAAGGAACCUGAGUGGAAUCAGAGGAAAUGUGAAGCCUGCUAUUUAUGAUCCUAGACCAGUGCAUAGGAAGAAUUCUUCAAAAAAUGAACAAAACUUGAGAAACAUGGUACUUAACUGGCAGGGAAAAUCAAAGUGGCCUGUGCUACAAAUGUAUGAAUCAGCCAACAUAAGAGCCUUAGCAGCUGACCAUGACUACAUGGAGCUGACAAUGGAGGAUCACUUUCUCAAGACUGAAAAGGUAUCCUGUAUUUCAAAGGCUGAAAUCUAUGAAAUUGAGCAGCAAACCAAAUACCAAAGUGCAUGUGACAGGUGGACAACAGAAAGACGAAAACGAAUUACAUCUUCUAAUUUUGGAAAUAUAUGCAAGGCCACUAUA